UAAAAUUACAUUCCAAGUAGCUUUUCAAUUCUUACAGCUCAAGUUAUAAAUAAUUAUAAGUAACACCUACGAUUAUAACUUAAGGGGCCUCUCGAUACUCUAGACGGAUGUAAAAGGAUGUCAUUUUACAACUUCCAAAUUUUUUAUCCCAUAUAAAAAACGCAGCAUGAAAAGGUAAGCCUAAAAGUAAGCUCAAUCUGAUAAAUUUAGCAAUGAAACAGUUGGAGUUGGCUCACAGCAAAGAUUGUGUUCAUUGAGUCAAAGACAGCCUUGCAGCCGAAAACAUGCAUAUAGCAAGCUCCGGCAGUCGGAUCUUCCAUGCCACUUCUGGUAAAAUACUGCAGUGAAUCUAUAACAGAGCUCAGCUCACAGCUCUGAUUGUAGUAAGUAAAAACUAUCAUUGGUGAAGUCUGCAGUCGGAGCUCUCGUACAUACCAAAAUGCAUUACUUUUAACUUUUCCAGAACAAGACUGUCCGUUUUCAAGAGUAAAGGAUUGUUAGGAUGCAUGACAUCUGCUGUAAGGUCCGCCGCCGAAGAUUAUCAGCCUGUUUGGGUAAAAAGAUUAUUUAGUCAGAAAACAUGUCAUUGAAAUGUUAAGAAAACUAAUUACAAUUACGAUGAAAAUCUCAGGCAUCAGCAGAACUUUUUGCCCCUUAACAUAGAACUCAUUACGUGAUUACUUUCUGCCUUGUCCCGGUGGAAGCUGUAACUUACCAAAUAGCUGACUAGUUGCAUCCCUAUUUUGUCAUCAAGUUAAUAUCACAAAUUCACUUCUCAUUAAGAAAUUAAUUUGUAAUCAGAUAUCCUCAAACUUAGAAAUUAAAUCAACUUAAAAAAAAAAAAAAUUGAUACGAUUCCAAUUCCUUAAUUCCUUAAUUUUAAGUUAAUUUCUUUCUAGGUUUUGGCUCAAAAGUAAGAAAAAACUUACUUCUCUCUCUCUCUCUCUCUCUCUCUCUCUCUCUCGCUUCUCUCUCCCUUUCCACAUUCAGACACCAACAAAUUCUCUUCUCAAUCCUAUUUCCCCAACGAUAAAAUAGAGUUGGAAAGCUGAUAAAUUUCUUCUGGGUGUUUUAGUGCUCUGCCUCUUCAUUUGGGUUGAACUUGGUAUUUUUCUCUUGUGCUUGAGAGCUGGUCGAGAUGGCAAAUAGUAAAUAUGAGUAUGUCAAGUCGUAUGAAGUCGACGAUGAGGUUUUUCUGCCCAAUUUCAUUGUUGUUCAAAUCAACGGCCGUGGUUUUAAGAGGUUUUCUCAAGUUCAUGAGUUUGAGAAGCCAAAUGACGAGGUAGCUUUGAAUUUGAUGAACUCAUGCGCUAUUUGUGUGUCAGAGGAGUUUCCUGAUGUUGUGUUUUUGUACGGAUUCAGUGACGAGUACAGCUUUGUUUUCAAGAAGACAUCGAAGUUCUACCAGAGACGUGCCAGCAAAGUAGAGUCCAUUAUUGUAUCUUUCUUCACUUCGGUAUAUGUGAUGAAAUGGAGAGAAUUCUUUCCUCAUAAGGAGUUAAGAUACUCCCCUUCAUUUCAUGCACGGGUUAUAAGCUGUGCUUCAAUAGAAGUCCUUCAAUCAUAUCUUCUAUGGAGACAAACUAAUUGUCAUACACAUAACCUACAUAAUACUUGCCUUUGGGAGCUAAUUAAAUGCGGAAAGACCGAAAGUGAAGCAUUGGAGUUACUAAGGGGCACUAGUAAGGAAGAAAAAAAUGAUCUUCUUUUCGGAAAUUUUGAGAUUAACUACCAGAAAUUGAAUCCGAUGUUCCGACAAGGAUCCUGCAUUUUGAAAACUGAGGUGAUUGACAUUGUAAAGCACAGAGAAAAUGGCUCUCCUGUCAGGAGACUUAGAAAAAAGUCUAGCAUAGUCCAUUCAAAGAAUAUAGCUGGAAAAUGUUUUUGGAACAAUCACACUGGUCUUCUGAAGGAGCUCGGUAGCUUUACAAAUGACAUUGGAAAAGUUGAACCGGAUUAUGUUAGGUCCUUCCAGUUUAAAAAAAUACUGAUGCCCUCAACUUGGAUUGUUAUUAGAAUUGAUGGUUGCCAUUUUCACAGGUUUUCAGAUGUUCAUGAAUUUGUGAAGCCGAAUGAUAAGCAAGCCCUCAACCUUAUGAAUGCAUGUGCAGUGGCUGUUGUAAAAGAGUUUCCAGACAUAGUUUUCUCCUAUGGAGUCAGUGAUGAAUACAGCUUUGUUCUGAAGAACGAUUCUCAUUUCUAUCAAAGGCAAGCAAGUGAGAUAGUAUCCGCCAUUGUGUCAUUAUUCACUUCCAUAUACAUAACGAAAUGGAAAGAUUUCUUCCAUCAAAAAGAGUUAAAGUACCCUCCUUAUUUUGAUGGACGUGCUGUGUGCUAUCCGUCAGUUGAAAUUCUUCGAGACUAUCUAGCCUGGAGACAAGUUGAUUGCCAUAUCAACAAUCAAUACAAUACUUGUUUCUGGGAGCUUGUUAAGUCUGGAAAAAGCAAAAGUGAAGCUCAGAAUUUUCUAAAGGGUACUCAGACUGGAGACAAAGAGAAAUUGCUGAAGCAAUUUGGUAUUGACUACCACAAAUUACCAGCCAUGUUUCGCCAAGGUUCCUCCAUUUUCUGGGACAAGGAAGACAUCACAAUGAUGCAGGAGAAAGAAAAACCUGGUGGAAAUUCUUUGAAAAGAGUUAUUGUAGAACAUUGUAAUAUAAUUGAGCCAAGCUUUUGGGCUGCGCAUCCAACAAUUCUUUAUAGGUAACUCCAUAGAUGCUGUGAAGCACCGAGUUCUUUGUUAUGGAGAAAUUGAAGACCUUAGCAAUACCAAAUUGAAGACCAGUUUUCCAAACCAAAACAAAUCAUCACGUGGCUUUACUUGAGUCCCGGUAGCUGGCCCUGUUUGUUCCACAAUUUCAAGUGCUAAGGUAGAGACAACAUGCUGGAGCUUUGUUCCAACCAGCAUGACAAGCUUUGUCUCUGUGGAGCCCAGUCUUGACUUACCCUACUCUUGCAGGGCUGGUUCUUGCUCUUCACGUGCUUGCAAAGUUGUGGACCAGUAAGAUUAGAGCUUCCUUGAUGAUGACCAGAUUGAAGUGUGGAUUUGUCUUCAGUUGUGCGGCUUAUCCCUCAUCUGAUGUUGUACUUGAAACCCACAGGGAAGAGGAGCUCACUGGUUAAGUGUGAUCUCUAUAUUUCACCGUGGUUGCUUGUAUUGGCUUAGUUUAUUUCAGGAUAAGGUUUCUGAGUUUAAAAGUGAAGGGUAGGCCUUACAAGGGAGACUGAUAGCGGAAGGAAAUGAGUUUGAGCAUUGCUUAACAGGAUAUACAUCCAGUGUUCAGCCACUAUUCCAA